rnacentral:rRNA from 1 species
GACGAACGCUGGCGGCGUGCUUAACACAUGCAAGUCGAACGGAAAGGCCCUGCUUUUGUGGGGUGCUCGAGUGGCGAACGGGUGAGUAACACGUGAGUAACCUGCCCUUGACUUUGGGAUAACUUCAGGAAACUGGGGCUAAUACCGGAUAGGAGCUCCUGCUGCAUGGUGGGGGUUGGAAAGUUUCGGCGGUUGGGGAUGGACUCGCGGCUUAUCAGCUUGUUGGUGGGGUAGUGGCUUACCAAGGCUUUGACGGGUAGCCGGCCUGAGAGGGUGACCGGCCACAUUGGGACUGAGAUACGGCCCAGACUCCUACGGGAGGCAGCAGUGGGGAAUAUUGCACAAUGGGCGGAAGCCUGAUGCAGCAACGCCGCGUGCGGGAUGACGGCCUUCGGGUUGUAAACCGCUUUCGCCUGUGACGAAGCGUGAGUGACGGUAAUGGGUAAAGAAGCACCGGCUAACUACGUGCCAGCAGCCGCGGUGAUACGUAGGGUGCGAGCGUUGUCCGGAUUUAUUGGGCGUAAAGGGCUCGUAGGUGGUUGAUCGCGUCGGAAGUGUAAUCUUGGGGCUUAACCCUGAGCGUGCUUUCGAUACGGGUUGACUUGAGGAAGGUAGGGGAGAAUGGAAUUCCUGGUGGAGCGGUGGAAUGCGCAGAUAUCAGGAGGAACACCAGUGGCGAAGGCGGUUCUCUGGGCCUUUCCUGACGCUGAGGAGCGAAAGCGUGGGGAGCGAACAGGCUUAGAUACCCUGGUAGUCCACGCUGUAAACGGUGGGUACUAGGUGUGGGGUCCAUUCCACGGGUUCCGUGCCGUAGCUAACGCUUUAAGUACCCCGCCUGGGGAGUACGGCCGCAAGGCUAAAACUCAAAGGAAUUGACGGGGCCCCGCACUAGCGGCGGAGCAUGCGGAUUAAUUCGAUGCAACGCGUAGAACCUUACCUGGGUUUGACAUGGAUCGGGAGUGCUCAGAGAUGGGUGUGCCUCUUUUGGGGUCGGUUCACAGGUGGUGCAUGGCUGUCGUCAGCUCGUGUCGUGAGAUGUUGGGUUAAGUCCCGCAACGAGCGCAACCCUUGUUCACUGUUGCCAGCACGUUAUGGUGGGGACUCAGUGGAGACCGCCGGGGUCAACUCGGAGGAAGGUGGGGAUGACGUCAAGUCAUCAUGCCCCUUAUGUCCAGGGCUUCACGCAUGCUACAAUGGCUGGUACAGAGAGUGGCGAGCCUGUGAGGGUGAGCGAAUCUCGGAAAGCCGGUCUCAGUUCGGAUUGGGGUCUGCAACUCGACCUCAUGAAGUCGGAGUCGCUAGUAAUCGCAGAUCAGCAACGCUGCGGUGGAUACGUUCCCGGG